rnacentral:rRNA from 1 species
GUGGGGAAUAUUGGACAAUGGGGGGAACCCUGAUCCAGCCAUGCCGCGUGUGUGAAGAAGGCCUUUUGGUUGUAAAGCACUUUAAGCGAGGAGGAGGCUACCGAGAUUAAUACUCUUGGAUAGUGGACGUUACUCGCAGAAUAAGCACCGGCUAACUCUGUGCCAGCAGCCGCGGUAAUACAGAGGGUGCAAGCGUUAAUCGGGUUUACUGGGCGUAAAGCGCGCGUAGGUGGCCAAUUAAGUCAAAUGUGAAAUCCCCGAGCUUAACUUGGGAAUUGCAUUCGAUACUGGUUGGCUAGAGUAUGGGAGAGGAUGGUAGAAUUCCAGGUGUAGCGGUGAAAUGCGUAGAGAUCUGGAGGAAUACCGAUGGCGAAGGCAGCCAUCUGGCCUAAUACUGACACUGAGGUGCGAAAGCAUGGGGAGCAAACAGGAUUAGAUACCCGGGUAGUCC